rnacentral:rRNA from 1 species
UACGUAGGGUGCGAGCGUUGUCCGGAAUUAUUGGGCGUAAAGAGCUCGUAGGCGGUUUGUUGCGUCUAUCGUGAAAACCUGCAGCUUAACUGUGGGCUUGCGGUGGAUACGGGCAGACUUGAGUUCGGUAGGGGAGACUGGAAUUCCUGGUGUAGCGGUGAAAUGCGCAGAUAUCAGGAGGAACACCGGUGGCGAAGGCGGCUCACUGGACCGGUACUGACGCUGAUGCGCGAAAGCGUGGGGAGCAAACGGG